UGUGGCGACUCCUAGAAACUCAAGAGCAGU
rnacentral:piRNA from 1 species